rnacentral:rRNA from 1 species
AUGGGGGCCCUGCCUCGGGGUCUGCUGGUCCUCGGCGUUUGCGCCGUCCUGGUGGCGGCCGUGCUCGCCGACGCAUCGCCGGCAUCGUCCAUGGUCGUCGGCUUGGCCAAGUGCGCCGACUGCACCAGAAAGAACAUGAAGGCUGAGGCUGCUUUCGCGGGCCUCCAGGUGGCUGUCAAGUGCAAGAACGCCCACGGCGAGUACGAGACCAAGGCCAUCGGCACGGUGGACAAGUCCGGCGCGUUCGGCGUGCCCCUCGGCGCCGACCUCCUCCGCGAGGACGGCGAGCUGAAGCAGGACUGCUUCGCGCAGCUCCACAGCGCGCCCGACCACCCAUGCCCCGGGCAGGAGCCGUCCAUGAUCGUCCGGCAAUCCGCCGACGGCGCCGAAAAGAAGAGCUUCGUCGCCGUCCCCGGCGAGGUGCACUACUCCUCCCAGGAGUGCGCGUCGGCGUUCCUCUGCCACUUCUUCCACAAGAAGCACCUCUUCCACAAGAAGUCCGCCUUGGUCGUCCCUCACCUCAAGAAGAAGGCCAUCGUGAUCCCGCACAUCCACAAGAAGCCGAUCGUGAUCCCGCACUUCCACAAGAAACCGGCGCCGGUGCCGGUGCCGGAGUACAAGCCGCCGACGCCCACCCCGGUGUACAAGCACCCGACGCCCGUGCCGGAAUACAAGCCGCCGACG